UGCAGAUGAUGCUACUGAAUAUUUGCUAGCGGAGUCUUAAUGACGACAACCUGGUUACCACCAAGAUCUCUGAUGCC